rnacentral:lncRNA from 1 species
UGUACUCUCUAUUUUUUUCUGUGAAAGAGUGUUUGGAAAGUCAUUUCUUGUUGUUGUUAUGUUUGGUUUCUAGUGCACCCUGGGAAGCAUUGAUCUUGGACUUGGCUACUGUAUGGAAGACCAGUGUUCCUCUUAGCUGUUGGUGGAGACUCCUGUCAGUGCAGGCUACAGUGAAACUCUGUGAACAAUGCUCCCCAGUGUGUGCCUGGGAGGGCUGGCAUAUGGAGACCUCUCAUGGAGCCAAACGCAGGCUCUCUGCACUUCCUUCAGUUUUGCUUAAAUACAGGAUCCUGUUUGCCUUUGUCACCCCCUGCAGCACCACCAGACUUCAUUCACUGUGAAGCCUUGCCAGAUCUCUGUAAUAAAUUACCUGCUAGGCCAAGGCGGGAAAAGAGAAAAGAACAAGCUUCCCUUGCCAUUAGGUUGGCUGUGUGAUCAGUGCUGCCUAUGGAUGUGAGGGAAAGUGAUACAUGCUAUGCUCUGGGUUUGGAUGUAUCCAGGGUGCCUUUCUAGAAGUCUGUUUCCCUUUCAUAUUGACCUGAGAGGCCUUGUGUUGAAGGACCUUCAGACAAAAUGGAAAGAACCUGGAUUACCGAGUCAUCACUUGGAAGAAAGUGCCUGACCAGGAACAUCUAUGAAGCAGUUUGCAAAAGUGUGCAAUAAACCAUCCGUGUGUUAAGCCACUGAGAUUUCACACUUUGUUUUUUAAUACAUUAUAGUCCAGCUCAUUGGACUAACAGUUUCUCCAUCUCUUUAUCAAGAGCAUGAAUAGCCUUCCUUCAGAGUUUUUUCCAGCUCCAUAAAUUCAACUUAUUCUAAGGAGGCCAUCCUCCAGUCAGCUGGCUCCUUCCUGGUGCUUUGCUCAGGCUUCUUGGGUUCUGUCCUGCCAAUGUUCUUCCUCUCCAGGAUAGUUCUAUAUCUUACCUUGGAGAAGGAUCACGACCCCAGAGACACUCAGGAUGGAUAGGCUCUCAAAGCUCACUUACUCUACCUUACUUCCUAGUACCUAAGUCACCUCUACACUAUCCCUGCCGAGUGGUGGUUCAGGGUCUGGUUGAAAACCUCCAGUACCGUGAAACUCAUUGCUUUGACCAUACAAAAAUUCUUUCUCUACAU